GUCGGGUCCUCGACUUCCGCCGCCACUCGGCCGCCGGUUGGCGCCUCUACCCGCCGCCCCCCUUCGCCGCGACGAACUCCGCCGUCAGAUUCCUCCGCUGCGGCAGCAGCCUCGCUUAGCUGCUUGGCUUGUCCUCGACCACCAAGACGGAGACUAAGAAGAAAUAGAACUAUGCAUACAAGGGCACAUAGAGUGGGAAAAGCGGGCAAAGCCGUAAGAGAAAAAACUGAAAGGCAUGUUCAGGUUUAUCUCAAACAACAAACUAAGCAGUGUGCAGGCUGUUGAAGACUCACAAGGUUGCCGAUCUCCAGUGGGAUGGUUCAUGUAAGCUUGUUGUGGCCUAGAUUGUUUACCUUGAGACCGUACAUGGAGUUGGAGUUGAUGCACACUUUGGAGUUAAGGGAGCUAGAUGAAAUAUCAUGCCAAGUUAAGGGAGUAAACUUGCAAUGUGCCAAAUUCUCAGCCAACAUACUGCGGCCCGCCUAUAUAUAUAUAUGUGUGUGUGAUUAUCCUGGUGCUGUUUCAUCCUUGUCACUGUCACGCUGUGUGAAAGGAUACACAAAUACAUACAUAUACAUACAUUGUCUCUUGUAAGAAAUCCAGUGCUUCUCCA